rnacentral:lncRNA from 1 species
CUCGGGUUUAUAAUUCAAUCUGCAUCUAUUUGCUUCUUGACAGAAGAAGAUAAAAUAAUAGCACAGCUCUGUUUUCUUUCUAGCUAGGAGCAGAUAGCUGCAGUUUACCCUCUGGUGGAAGCUGUGCCAGUUUUCAUGGUGUUUCAGAUGAAUGAUGCUGCUGCUCUAUGAAAGUAAAUCCUGGUGUCCUGGAGUGAGUCUCAGGUUGUUCUGCUGUUUGUUUCUGUAGCAGCCCAGGAAAGAAAUGCAUCAAGCCAGAUUUGUCUUCUUCCUAAAGCCAGAAGUGGCUGUGGCAGAGGCAGAUGAAAUGGACUGAUACAAAACUGAUGCAGACCCAGCAGAUAUCAGAAUCCAGACAGAUGUGCAAGAUGAGGACAAAGAGCCUUUCAAUCUCCUUGCCCACAGGAUGCUCGGAAGGGACCUCUUCACUCUCACCAGAGAGCGAUGUAGACUGCCAGACCCAAUGUCUCAUAGACUGCAGGCAGGGACAUUACUACACAGCUGGCAACUGCUUGGAAUGUCCAACUGGCUUUUAUUGCCCUGGGGGUCAAAAAGCUCCAAGGAAAUGCCCAUUGGGAACAGCUAAUGAGCUUACAGCUCAAGUGGACAUCAUAGCCUGCCGGGUAAGCAGAUGAGCAGGGAAGGACAGUCAGGUGGAAGGAGUAUUUUCCACAUCUCUACAUUUGCUGCCACAUAUUU